AGCGCGAAGAACCUUACCAGCCCUUGACAUACCGGUCGCGGCCACAGAGAUGUGUAUUUCAAUUGGUUCGGACCGGAUACAGGUGAGGCACGGAGGUCGUCAGCUCGUGUGAUGAGAUGUUGGGAUAAGUCCCGCAACGAGCGCAACCCUCCCCUUAGUUGCCAGCAUUUAGUUGGGCACUCCCAGGGGACAAGGGGUGAUAAGCCGAGAGGAAGGUGGGGACCUUCUCAAGUCCUCAUGGCCGGCAGGGGCUGGGGAGCACCCAUGUUACAAUGGUGGUGACAGGGGGCAGGGAGCACGCGAGUGUGAGCUAAUCUCCACAAGCCAUGUCAGUUGGGAUUGCCAUCCGCAAAUCGAGUGCAUGAAGUCCGAAUCAAUAGUAAGACAGGAUCAGCAUUCCGCGGUGAAUACGUUCACCGGGCGGUGUACACACCG
rnacentral:rRNA from 1 species